GUAAAGAAUCAGCAUAGAUUACUAGAAAUCAUAUAUGCUUUUAUGGUGGUCCAUAUCUGGUUAUGGCAAAUUUACCCCUAAGUAUAUACCUAAAGGACCUAUAAAAGAGAAACUCUCUCUACUGCUAUUUCAUUGGACUAGCUCUUUUCUGGAAAAUAAAGCAGGAGUCAGAGGAAAGAAGCACAUAACCAGGCAGAAGUCAGCGGGAAGGUACAGCACCUGCUUUGACGCGAAACACAAGUUUCCAUCUAGUUGGCUUUCACGGAAGCAGCGAUUUUUGUAAAAUAUGACCCCACCACAUUUGUUGCAGAGACCCUUGAACAACAUGGUUUGAACUUCAUGGAUUCAUUUAUAUGCAGAGUUUCUUCUGCCUCUGCCACCCAUGUGAAAACAAGACUGGUCCCUUCUCUUCCUGCUCUUCAUCAGCCCACUCAAGAAAGUCAGUAAAGAGAGAGACGGACAUCAUUGAAGUAUCCCAGAAACUCCAUACAGAUAAAAGUCCCUCGUUUUAUACAUGAGCAUACCUUCUUCAGGUCCUGAGACCUGAGCUGAGUAUUACAUCAUCUGCUAGAGAAAUGAAGGAGUCAUUUAGUGUCGUCACCCAGCAGUUAGUGCCAUUAUGUCUAAUUACAGAUCAGAGGAAAUAUGUAGCUGAAGAAAGUAGAGAAGAGAAUGAGACAAGAGAAGAAUCCUUCCGCUGCAGCGAGCAUUGAUGAUUGAAAGCCCAUAAAGCUUCUAUUGACUCAGAGUAUAAGGGGCUUGAUUUAUCUCAACACUUGGCAGGAAAAUAAAAACAAGAAUAAUACAGUCCAAUUUCUUGUGGUCACUUCUGAAAAUAAUCUACGUGCACAAAUACCCUUGUCGCAGGCUCUGUUUCUAGGGUAAAUCUGGACUAAGACACCACCUCAUCUUUGCGACAACUUUAUAAGGCUUUAGGUAAAGAUGAAAGCAAGAAAAAAACACAAUGGGAUUAAGACUCAAUGCUGGUACAGCAGGACGAGAGGAGCCAAAUGACAAUGUGUCAUAAGUCAAAUAAUACAUACGGAAGUUAAAGCAGGUGAGAGACAGGAAGAAGAGCUGGGGAAUUGUUCCACUUAAUGACAAAAGAGAAGAGCCAAAAUUUCAUGAACCGAAGGGGACCAGAGUGUGUCAAUAAAGGGUUUUGAGGGCAAA